GACGAACGCUGGCGGCGUGCCUAAUACAUGCAAGUCGAGCGAAUCUUUUGGGAGCUUGCUCCCUUAAGAUUAGCGGCGGACGGGUGAGUAACGCGUGGGUAACCUGCCUGUAAGACUGGGAUAACUUCGGGAAACCGGAGCUAAUACCGGAUACUUUCUUUUCUCGCAUGAGGGAAGAUGGAAAGAUGGUUCUGCUAUCACUUAAAGUUGGACCCGCGGCGCAUUAGCUAGUUGGUGAGGUAACGGCUCACCAAGGCAACGAUGCGUAGCCGACCUGAGAGGGUGAUCGGCCACACUGGGACUGAGACACGGCCCAGACUCCUACGGGAGGCAGCAGUAGGGAAUCUUCCGCAAUGGACGAAAGUCUGACGGAGCAACGCCGCGUGAGCGAAGAAGGCCUUCGGGUCGUAAAGCUCUGUUGUUAGGGAAGAACAAGUACGAGAGUAACUGCUCGUACCUUGACGGUACCUAACCAGAAAGCCACGGCUAACUACGUGCCAGCAGCCGCCGUAACAC
rnacentral:rRNA from 1 species